AUUCAGCGGCGGACGGGUGAGUAAUGCCUAGGAAUCUGCCUGGUAGUGGGGGACAACGUUUCGAAAGGAACGCUAAUACCGCAUACGUCCUACGGGAGAAAGCAGGGGACCUUCGGGCCUUGCGCUAUCAGAUGAGCCUAGGUCGGAUUAGCUAGUUGGUGAGGUAAUGGCUCACCAAGGCGACGAUCCGUAACUGGUCUGAGAGGAUGAUCAGUCACACUGGAACUGAGACACGGUCCAGACUCCUACGGGAGGCAGCAGUGGGGAAUAUUGGACAAUGGGCGAAAGCCUGAUCCAGCCAUGCCGCGUGUGUGAAGAAGGUCUUCGGAUUGUAAAGCACUUUAAGUUGGGAGGAAGGGUUGUAGAUUAAUACUCUGCAAUUUUGACGUUACCGACAGAAUAAGCACCGGCUAACUCUGUGCCAGCAGCCGCGGUAAUACAGAGGGUGCAAGCGUUAAUCGGAAUUACUGGGCGUAAAGCGCGCGUAGGUGGUUCGUUAAGUUGGAUGUGAAAUCCCCGGGCUCAACCUGGGAACUGCAUCCAAAACUGGCGAGCUAGAGUAUGGUAGAGGGUGGUGGAAUUUCCUGUGUAGCGGUGAAAUGCGUAGAUAUAGGAAGGAACACCAGUGGCGAAGGCGACCACCUGGACUGAUACUGACACUGAGGUGCGAAAGCGUGCGAGCAAACAGGAUUAGAUACC
rnacentral:rRNA from 1 species